UACGGGGGGAGCAAGCGUUGUUCGGAUUUACUGGGCGUAAAGGGCGGGUAGGCGGCCACCGCAAGUCGACUGUGAAAUCUCCGGGCUUAACCCGGAAAGGUCAGCCGAUACUGCGGGGCUAGAGUGCAGAAGGGGCAACUGGAAUUCUCGGUGUAGCGGUGAAAUGCGUAGAUAUCGAGAGGAACACCUGCGGCGAAGGCGGGUUGCUGGGCUGACACUGACGCUGAACUGCGAAAGCGUGGGGAGCAAACGGG
rnacentral:rRNA from 1 species